rnacentral:rRNA from 1 species
GUAGGUGGCAAGCGUUGUCCGGAAUUAUUGGGCGUAAAGCGCGCGCAGGCGGUCCUUUAAGUCUGAUGUGAAAGCCCACGGCUCAACCGUGGAGGGCCAUUGGAAACUGGGGGACUUGAGUACAGAAGAGGAAAGCGGAAUUCCAAGUGUAGCGGUGAAAUGCGUAGAGAUUUGGAGGAACACCAGUGGCGAAGGCGGCUUUCUGGUCUGUAACUGACGCUGAGGCGCGAAAGCGUGGGGAGCAAACAGGGAUUAGAUACCCUGGUAGUCCACGCCGUAAACGAUGAGUGCUAAGUGUUAGGGGGUUUCCCGCCCCUUAGUGCUGCAGCUAACGCAUUAAGCACUCCGCCUGGGGAGUACGGCCGCAAGGCUG